UGCGUAGGCGGGGCAAUUAGUCAGUGGUGAAAUCCUGCGGCUUAACCGUAGAACUGCCAUUGAUACUGUUGCCCUUGAGUAUAGUUGAGGUGGGCGGAAUGUGUAAUGUAGCGGUGAAAUGCAUAGAGAUUACACAGAACACCAAUUGCGAAGGCAGCUCACUAAGCUAUAACUGACGCUGAGGCACGAAAGCGUGGGGAGCGAACAGGAUUAGAUACCCUGGUAGUUC
rnacentral:rRNA from 1 species